rnacentral:rRNA from 1 species
GACGGGGGGGGCAAGUGUUCUUCGGAAUGACUGGGCGUAAAGGGCGCGUAGGCGGCUCGCGAGGUCGGGGGUGAAAUCCCGCAGCUUAACUGCGGAAGUGCCUUCGAUACCGGCGGGCUGGAGGAAGGUAGGGGUGCGCGGAACUUCUGGUGGAGCGGUGAAAUGCGUUGAUAUCAGAAGGAACGCCGGCGGCGAAAGCGGCGCACUGGACCUUUUCUGACGCUGAUGCGCGAAAGCCAGGGGAGCAAACGGG